GAGUGGGGGUUCAGGGGAACCCNGAAAUCCCGGACAAGCCCCCAAAUGAUAGACCCCCCAAACUCAGGGUACUACCUUCUCGGGAAGAGGGGCCCCCAGAAACCCAGACUCCA
rnacentral:pre_miRNA from 11 species